rnacentral:lncRNA from 1 species
AAUUGCAGUCCUUGUGUCUUAGACUGCUUUUCAAGUUUACCUAGGACCCCAAAGUACUUCAGCCCAUGCUGGCAAGGUUUGCUGAGAAACUCAAAUUCUGACUGCUGGAAUGGGGCAAUUCCCCUCUGGCUAGGGCUGGUCCAACUUCUUCCAUGCACAGGCACUGGCUGAUCCCAGUGUGGCUUUAUUCUCUACUGUGACAGGACAUUACUGAGUUCAAUGUAAAGUCCCCCAGUCGCUGAGCUCUCCUUCCCCAAAGGGCACAGAUUGUCUUUCUGCACUGCACAGUCAUUGUCCAGAGGUGGGAGAAAGGGCAUUGGCAAUUCAAGACUGUCUAUCUUGCCCUCCUCAAUGCCUCUUUUGACAAUAUGAAGUUAAAACCAGGUACUGUGAUUGCUCACCUGAUUUUGGUUCUUGUGAUGUUGCUUUUCUGUGUGGAGGUAGUUGUUAAAAUUUGGUGUUUUAGCAGGGGAGAACAAUGGUGUAGGCUUCUGUUUUGUCAUCUUGCUCCAUCCUCUCUCCUUGGGUAUUUUACAUUACAAUUUAAUUUCCAUAGAAAUUAUAGGGCUGUUCAGACGAGAUCGGGCACAUUCCGGGUGGUAUGGCCGUAGGCUAUAGGCCUAUUCAAAUGGUCUAUUUCAUAUUGGGUCUGCCGUGAUAUCUCCUGUUUCAUUCCUGCAUCGUUAGAUAUUCUGGCAUCUCUGGCAUCUUGAUGUUAUCACUAAAAAACAAAACAGGCAUAGAGCCAGAAGAGCAAAGAAAGCAGCAAAGAGGUCCAUCCACUUAUGAGAGAACUGAAUAAAUAGCCAGAAGAUGGAAAACAAGGGAAAUAAAUGAUGACAAAGUAGAGAAAGAGACAGACCAACUACACGAAGAAGUUUGCUUCCAAGGAAAUCCUUCUCCAGUGACCAGAGGAAUGACCAGCUCCCCACCUUCUCACUGUCCAGCAGUCCCUGCUAACCCACAGAUCUCUGAUACCAUGCCAAAUUAAAUGGUGACAGUGGAAAUCCUUGUCUUAUUUCUGGUGAUGAAGAUUAGGUUCUUCAAUGCGGACACUGAGGUGAAGUUGGUGGUGCAAGAUGAGAGGAAGCUGGCUUACGGCACAGGGAGAAGCUGAACUUCGGUGCAACUCCCACAAACCUUAGCCAACUUGGUGGGGAGCUUUGGUGCCAAUAUUUCCUGUUGAAGUAGUCCUGUCUUGGACUUCUCAGCAUUGUACUAGGCCCUUAAGCACCCUCUUCAAUCAGUUAUUAGAUACAAGACAGCUCAGGAAGACCGUGGCAUUAGGACAGGCAGCUCUCUGCAGCUGAGGCAGCCCCGGUAGGAGCUGACAGCUGAAGAUUGUCUGGAAACUGUACCACCUACCACCAGGCAGUGAGUCCUUCUCCGAAAAAGGAUCUGGGUCAGAUGGAUGCUCAUUAACUUUCACGCACCUUUGUUUUCUCACAUACACAUCAAGUCUGUGAAUGUCCUUCUAAUCUCUGCUUUAUGUGUAUUACACAGUUCUGCGAUGUGUUUUUGUUAGUAUUCAGUACAAACACAUUUAAAAACAUUUGUCAUUAUGAUUUCUUUUUUGACACAUAGAUAUAGUUAGAUGUAUUUUUCUUAACUUCUAAAAUGUAUAGUUUUUGCCAGCUAUAUUUUUGUCAUCAGUAUUAGUUUAACUACAACAUGCUUAUAAAUAUAAUCGGCAUGAUUUCAUCAUUUUAAACUUUAUUGAGACUUGCUUUAUGUCCCAAUAGUCAAUUUUGUAAAUGAUAUUCUUCAAAAAAAUGUGUAUUCUGUAGUUGUUAGGUGUUCCUAUUCGAGAGGCUGUAACCAGGGUCUCCAACCACCAGAAAGGAAUGCUAUCUGCUAGUGGCUACUGUGGAUUAUUUUUUCAUUAUCCUCCUUUAAAAUGCAAAUAUCCUUUGGAGUGUUGAGUAAUGAACGUCUUAAAAUUGGGUAUGAGAAUGAACUGAAUUACCGAGGGAGUGGGAUUUGUGGGAAAGGACACACACACUCACACACACUCACACACACACCACUGUUUAUUGCAGGCUUAGUAACAUGCAAGUUUAUUGUGUUCACAUACAUUAUUUCACUGAAUCCCCACAAUAAUUCUGAGAGAAGGGUAUUCUACCCAUUUUAUACAUAGGAAGCUGAGGCUCAAAGAGUUUAAAGAGCUUGCUAAUAUUUGAACUCAGAGGUAUCUGAUACUGGAUUCCAUGCUCUUAAUUGCUAUGUGCCUGUCUCCCCAUAACUAGCCUCAGUUCCUUUAAUACACUAAUUUGGUCAUCUGAUUCACAAUGCAGUUAUCAUUACAUUUGUAAAGGUUUUCUCUGAUUCUAAUGGAUAUUGAAAAGAUAAGUGAUGGCAGAAUCACUUAUUCUUUAAUUUUUAAGCAUUAUCAGUGAAUCAUUAUGUAGACGGCUUAGGCUAUGAGCUCAAGAUUAUGUUAUGAGCUCAAGAAAUGCAAAGGUAAAGAAAACACAGUCCAGUCCAGUAAGAUUGGGAGACAGACAUGUGUACACACAAUGAGAAGUCAUGAAGGGAAGGUGGGCUGGCUGUGGAAUUAGUCACCUUGAAGUCUGUCUAAGGAGAGGGCUGGUAUCAGGGUGUGGACAUUUUACAUUUCUAUCACAGCAUUGUAGUUGAUCUUAGAGACUCCUACCGAAGUUUGGGGAGAAGAGAGGUAAUACAGGGAUUUAUUUUAAAUUUCUUCUUAUAAUUAGGUCAAUUCCAGAAUAUGAGGAAUGAAUGACAGUUCAAACACAGUGUCUGAAAAAGGUAACCACAUUUUGUAAAGAUUCCUUAAAUCAAUAGGUUGAAAUUCCAGUAAUAGAGCUCCAAAAUUUCAGGGGAGCCUAUCCUAUGGGAAAGCAGAGCCCUGUUGCUGGAAAUCCACUAAGCCAUUUACAAGGAGUAAAGAAGGGCUUUCUGAAAUGUUGACUUAGGGACACAGAGCUUAAACUCAGAGCACUUAUUUUCUUCUCUGCUCUCCGGCUUUCUGUCUCUGGCUGCAUCAUUAUUCUUUAUUGACUAUUUCAUAAACUCACAUUCCCUCAGCUUGGUUAAGGAAGGCAGUCUUUAAUCUUGGCGGAGCAGAUAAGGACAAUUAAAUCCUGGGCCUGCUUCCUGACACAGAUGACGGGGCUGCCUUCCUGGAACAUCAUCUUCAUGUCAUGGGUUCUGCUGUCACUUAUUUUGUUCAGAAUGUGUCAGGACAGCUAGCAUGACCUCAGCAUUCCCCUCAGGCUGGUGCUUCUUUAAUGCUGAAUAAAAUGUUCUCCUGGACUCUUUCAGGGUGGAUUUGAGACCCAGCCCUGUGGGCUGAAGGAGGAUGGGUGCAGGUCUGUGAAUCUCUUCUUAAUCUUUCAGCUAGAAAUAACUACUCCUUUCUGUGGUCCUUUUGCAAUUUACUCAUGGCUUCUUUUCUUUUCUUUUACUUCUUUUAUUUUCUUUUAUGAUUGUUCUUACAAUAGCCUGCUUUGAUCUCCACUACGUCUGGUUAUUGGAGAAUACAUCAACUGUUUUGUUGACUCAGCAAUACUUAAUCAAUUCUAAUUUCAGCACUAUUUCUUUUGAAAAUUCCUCUCACCUACUUUUGCCAGUAUAGUAAGGCUAUCAGUUUCAGCAGUAGGUUUCUUUGAUCUCCAGAACAGGUUUAGGAUCCAGGUUUGGCCCAUCAUAGUACACCAUUAUUUUGGCUUCAGUGAUUGGCUCCUCAGUGAAAUCAUGAUCCUAAAGUUGACCAAUCAGAGGUUUUUCCUGGGGAUUUUUAUAUAUGGAUACUGGGGACAGAUGGUAUUUUUUUCCUCUUGUAGUGCAAGCUGAAAGAAUGUGGUUACAAAUCUAAUUAUGGUGAUGCCCUUUAACUUAUGGAUGGGCAUAAGGGAGUGAGGCCAAAAUGCAACUUUAAGCCAAGCGAGAGAUAGAGAGAUGGAGACUGCUAGUCGGGAUGCUGUUUGAAUCCCUGAAUGCAGUCUUUCCUGAGACUAAAUUAUAUUUAGUCUUUUAACCGUAACUGCUAAAAGUAAUUUUUUACUUUUAAACUUAGAAUAUAAGUUCAAAGAGUGAAAGCAGAGAUUUUUCUUUACAUUUUCACUGCUAUAAUUCCAAAUGCCUAGAACAGUGCCUGUCACAUAGUAGGCAGUCAAUUAAUAUUUGCUUAAUGAAUAUUUGCAACUGAAUGAAACAGGAUAAUCAGAGUAUGCAUGUCUUCCUAACUGUUUUAAGGGAUUCUUGGGAAAAAAACCCAGGGAGCAAUUAUCAUAGAGUUGUUGGAAUUAAAGCUAGUUUGUGGGACUGUCCUGAGAAUUUAUUGUUAUUGAAAUUUUUUUAAAUUUUGAAGUGUAACACACAGAAAAGUGCAUAAAGCACAAAUAAGCAGUGUAAUGGGAUUAUUUAUAAAGUGGACCCAUGACCACUAGGUAGUUCAAGAAAUAGAAGGCUUCCAGCCUUCCAGAAGCUUCUCGUAUUUCCCAUCUGGAAUAUUUCCCUCUGUACCAGCCAGAGGUAAACAACAUGCUGAAUUUUAUGGUAAUCACUUCAUUGCUUUGUUUUAUAAUUGUAGCCCCACUAUAUGCAUCACAGGACAAUGCUAUUUAGUUUUGAA